rnacentral:rRNA from 1 species
CCAUCUCCCAAGGCUAAAUACUCCCUAGUGACCGAUAGUGAACCAGUACCGUGAGGGAAAGGUGAAAAGCACCCCGGAAGGGGAGUGAAACAGUUCCUGAAACCGUGUGCCUACAAGUAGUUAGAGCCCGUUAAUGGGUGAUAGCGUGCCUUUUGUAGAAUGAACCGGCGAGUUACGAUUUGUUGCAAGGUUAAGCGGAAAAAGCGGAGCCGUAGCGAAAGCGAGUCUGAAUAGGGCGCAUAAGUAACAGGUCGUAGACCCGAAACCAGGUGAUCUACCCAUGUCCAGGAUGAAGGUAAGGUAAUACUUACUGGAGGUCCGAACCCACGCACGUUGAAAAGUGCGGGGAUGAGGUGUGGGUAGCGGAGAAAUUCCAAUCGAACUUGGAGAUAGCUGGU